CAGGGAUGCAGAGGCACCCUCGUUGCUCCCCUUCUACUCGGACCAACUGCCAGCGAUGGCAGGGUAUGGGCCUGAUGCUCCAGCUCCAUCCAUUUUCAGGGCUUGUAGAUUCAGCA